rnacentral:rRNA from 1 species
CACCUCUAGCAUUACCAGUAUUAGAGGCACUGCCUGCCCGGUGACACAUACUCAACGGCCGUGGUACCCUGACGGUGCAAAGGUAGCAUAAUCACUUGUUCCUUAAAUGGGGACUCGCAUGAAUGGCAUCACGAGGGUUCAACUGUCUCUUACUUUCAACCAGUGAAAUUGACCUGUCCGUGAAGAGGCGGACAUGAAACAAUAAGACGAGAAGACCCUAUGGAGCUUUAAUUUAUUAAUGCAAUCAAACCUAUACAAAUCCACGGACCCUUACACCACCACACCUGCAUUAAAAAUUUUGGUUGGGGUGACCUCGGAGCAUAACUAAACCUCCGAACAGCCUACGCUAAGACUACACAAGCCAAAGCGAACCAGCACCUGUAAUUGACCCAAUGACUUGACCAACGGAACAAGUUACCCUAGGGAUAACAGCGCAAUCCUAUUCCAGAGUCCAUAUCGACAAUAGGGUUUACGACCUCGAUGUUGGAUCAGGACAUCCUAAUGGUGCAGCAGCUAUCAAGGGUUCGUUUGUUCAACGAUUAAAGUCCU